rnacentral:lncRNA from 1 species
GCCCAUAUUCCUCUGAAGCUCCAUGUUUCCUCGCUAUCAACUGGCUCUGUAUAUGUAUAUUUUACUUACCCUAGGGGAAAUCAGACCCCCUGUGAUGAGGCAUCCAAGUUAAGAAGCCCAUGUGGCAAGAAAACAAGUCCUGACAAAAACACAUGGAUAGACAUGGACUCAGAUCACUGCCCACCUCUGCAACUGAAUUUCCAGACCACAACCCCAGACAGCAACUUGUCAGUAAGGUAA